rnacentral:rRNA from 1 species
GACGAACGCUGGCGGCGUGCUUAACACAUGCAAGUCGAGCGGUAAGGCCCUUUCGGGGGUACACGAGCGGCGAACGGGUGAGUAACACGUGGGUGACCUGCCCUCAGCUCUGGGAUAAGCCCGGGAAACUGGGUCUAAUACCGGAUAUGACUCCAUGACGCAUGUUGUGGGGUGGAAAGCCUUGUGCGGCUAGGGAUGGGCCCGCGGCCUAUCAGCUUGUUGGUGGGGUGAUGGCCUACCAAGGCGACGACGGGUAGCCGGCCUGAGAGGGCGACCGGCCACACUGGGACUGAGACACGGCCCAGACUCCUACGGGAGGCAGCAGUGGGGAAUCUUGCGCAAUGGGCGAAAGCCUGACGCAGCGACGCCGCGUGAGGGAUGACGGCCUCGGUUGUAA